CACCCAAACUCAUUCUUCACCACAUUCCCUUCCUCACUGAUGAGUUUAAGGCUGGUGUAGUGGCCCCAGCACAGCAGGAGUAAGAGGACUGGAAUCUUGGAAUUUAACUCUUCAAAUAUGGAAAUAAGUUCAGGGUGCUCUUCCUGCCAUGCAUCCUGUCAUCCCUACGGAAGGAGCCUGUAGAACACCUGCAGUUAGGCAGAGAUCAGGCUAGGUGGGUAACUGCGGUCUCCUACACACCUACCAAUGCUCAUUCCAGCUCCUCGUGGUAGGUGUUCCUCUUUACUUUUAGGUUCACAUAUAUUCUUCCUUAUUUUUUUUUAAGAAAGUUACUGUAUGGAUUGAAAGCUGUCCCUACCAAAAGAUGUUGACAUACCAACCCCCAGUACCUGUGAAGGUGACCUUAUUUGAAAAUGGGGUCUUUGCAGAUGAUCAAGUUAAGAUGAGGUCACUAGGUCAGGCUCUAACUCAGUGUGACUGAUGCCCUUACAAAAAGAGGAAAUUUAGACACAGACAGACAUGCACGGAGAGAGUACAACGUGAAAACAGAGAAAAGACGGCCAUCUACAAACCAAGGAAUACCUGAGGCUACAGAAGCAAGGAGAGAGACGAGGAACAGCUUCUCCCUCACAGUCCUCAGAAGAGACCAACCCUACCAACACUUUGAUUUCAGACUUUCAGCCUCCAGAACUGUGAAGCACAUUUCUGUUGUUUAAGCCACCAGUUUGUGGUACUGUGUUUUGGCAGUCUCAGGAAACAAAUACAGUUACGUUUGAUAAAAA